rnacentral:rRNA from 1 species
UACGUAGGGGGCUAGCGUUGUCCGGAAUCAUUGGGCGUAAGCGCGUGUAGGCGGUCCGGUAAGUCCGCUGUGAAAGUCGGGGGCUCAACCCUCGAAUGCCGGUGGAUACUGUCGGGCUAGAGUGCGGAAGAGGCGAGUGGAAGUUCCUGGUGUAGCGGUGAAAUGCGCAGAUAUCAGGAGGAACACCAAUGGCGAAGGCAGCACUCUGGGACGUGACUGGACGCUGAGACGCGAAAGCUAGGGGAGCAAACGGG